rnacentral:rRNA from 1 species
GUGUCAGCAGCCGCGGUAAUACGGAGGGGGCUAGCGUUGUUCGGAAUUACUGGGCGUAAAGCGCGCGCAGGCGGGCUGUUAAGUCAGGGGUGAAAUCCCGGGGCUCAACCCCGGAACUGCCUUUGAUACUGGCAGCCUAGAGUUCGAGAGAGGUGAGUGGAAUUCCGAGUGUAGAGGUGAAAUUCGUAGAUAUUCGGAGGAACACCAGUGGCGAAGGCGGCUCGCUGGCCCAUUUCUGACGCUGAGGUGCGAAAGCGUGGGGAGCAAACAGGAUUAUAUACCCUGGUAGUCCACGCCGUAAACGAUGAGUGCCAGACGUCGGGCGGCUUGCCGUUCGGUGUCGCAGCUAACGCAUUAAGCACUCCGCCUGGGGAGUACGGCCGCAAGGUUAAAACUCAAAUGAAUUGACGGGG